CUAGGGUUUUCAAUCUCUCAUCCCCAUUGUGUUGCUUUUGCUCCCGGAUCUCUUUAAUAGUAUUCUCUUUUUCAAUUUUGGUCUAAAGUUUACUUGCGAAAUUGUCAACCUUUGAGAAUGUUUUGCUGUUCACUUUUGGAUUCCUGUUCACGAGAUGCCUGCCAAGUGUUUGCUUAAAUGCCAACAUUGCUCACUGCACAAACAUUGACAAGGAACCAGUAAGAGAGAUUUUUCACUGAGAUUUGUUACCUUUGUAUCAUCAAGACAACGGUUGCAUUUAAGCUUCAUUGGUGCAGAACAUCCUCUUUUCCAUUCCAAG